GAGUCGGAGCCGGAGCCGCCACCGCCGCAGCCGCCGCCGCCGCCGCCGCCGCGGGCUUCGUUCGUGAGGAAGGGGGCCUAGGCCCGGGCCUGCGGUGGUGGGGCUUGCCGCGCGCCGGGGGUCGCUCCUGCUGUGUCCUCCGCCCCAGCUUCGCCCACUUCCCCUUGCCAGCGGGCUGGGCGCGGAGAAGACCUGCCGGAGCCAUGGAGGACGAAGUGGUCCGCUUUGCCAAGAAGAUGGACAAGAUGGUGCAGAAGAAGAACGCGAGGGCUGAACGUCCGCCUGGUUAUCUCAACUGCGCUACAUGUUUGCUUAGCGAUUAAAAAGGCUGGAGCAUUGGAUUUGCUAAAGGAGCUUAAGAAUAUUCCUAUGACCCUGGAAUUACUGCAGUCCACAAGAAUCGGAAUGUCAGUUAAUGCUAUUCGCAAGCAGAGUACAGAUGAAGAAGUUACAUCUUUGGCAAAGUCUCUCAUCAAAUCCUGGAAAAAAUUAUUAGAUGGGCCAUCAACUGAGAAAGACCUUGACGAAAAGAAAAAAGAACCUGCAAUUACAUCGCA
rnacentral:sRNA from 1 species